GAUUUAACAACUAUUAGACCAGUGAAUUGGACCUCAUGUAGGGACCAACAAGGAGUACAGGUACACAAAUUACCCCUUCUUAGCAAUUAUCACCAAGUUUUUAGCACAUUAAAAAGUUUA